rnacentral:rRNA from 1 species
ACUCAAAGGAAUUGACGGGGGUCCGCACAAGCGGUGGAACAUGUGGUUUAAUUCGACACUACGCGAGAAACCUUACCUAGGCUUGACAUGCUUUUGACCGCUAUAGAAAUAUAGUUUUCUAAGCUUCGGUUUAGACAAUUGCACAGGUGCUGCAUGGCUGUCGUCAGCUCGUGUCGUGAGAUGUUGGGUUAAGUCCUAUAACGAGCGCAACCCUUGCUGCCAGUUGCUACUUCUUUUAGAAGGCACUCUGGCGGGACUGCCUGGGAAACCAGGAGGAAGGUGGGGAUGACGUCAAGUCCUCAUGGCCUUUAUGCCUAGGGCUACACACGUGUUACAAUGGCUAGUACAAAGAGCAGCAAGCUCGUAAGAGUAAGCUAAUCUCAAAAAACUAGUCUAAGUUCAGAUUGAGGUCUGCAACUCGACCUCAUGAAGUUGAAAUCGCUAGUAAUCGCGCAUCAGCAUGACGCGGUGAAUACGUUCUCGGACCUUGUACACACCGCCCGU